GUUUCGGCGGUCAUAGCGGUGGGGAAACGCCCGGUCCCAUUCCGAACCCGGAAGCUAAGCCCACCUGCGCCGAUGGUACUGCACUGGUGACGGUGUGGGAGAGUAGGACGCCGCCGGACA
rnacentral:rRNA from 1 species